rnacentral:lncRNA from 1 species
GGCUGUAGCUGGUUUUAUGAGAUAUCACGGUGCUGUGUCAUGCACCUGUGUAGCUGAGAGCAGAAUGUUCGCUGCGGAGAUGGAAAAAAAAAAAACAGGCACUGGAAGGGAUAUAAGCACAGUCCCCUUUUGUUAGCAAUGAAAGUGGAGCACAUGGCCUGGAGUAACUUUCUGAAAGAUCAUUGAAAGAAACUCACGAGUUUCUACUUUAUACCCGUAUCCUUUAAUCUUUUAGCUAAAAUUUCAUGUACCCAACGAAGUAACCGGAUUUAUUUUGCUUCCCACCAGCCAAGAUGUUAACCGGACCCUUCAGCUUUCCCUCUGCUCUCUGCCUUUAACCUGGGCCAAUUAGGUUGGGAACUACACUGCAGCAUGGCCUCGAAACAACACGCUUGCUCAGAAUUGUCCUUCGAAUGCUGCUGUUCUCCCACGGGAAUCGGAAAUCCCAGGGCCUGCAUGCUUAACCCUUUCCACACCAUGGACACGCCUCAGGUUCUAAAGAGCAAAGCAUGUCACUCAGGCAGACCAUGACCUUGGCUCCUAAUCCGGAAGGCCAGUUUCAGGGAUGCCCACGUGGAGAAGAGAAAAUGACCAGAGAACAAGUGUGCUCACAGCCCUUGUGGGAAUAAUCGUGCCCACCUGGGGGGCUUUUCUGAAGACACUCAGAGCCGACUAAGAUAGGGGAGCGGUCUUGUUUUCUUUGGUGGCUCAUCUCUGCCUCUGUUUCUCCAUCAGAUCACAGUGAAAGCUGUAGCCCACAGUGUUGCUCACGAUUUCAGAGGAGAAUUGAAAAUGAGGAGGAAUGGAAUAUUCGCAAGUGUCUACUUGUCAACAAAGCGUGCCAGGUGUGUUCUCUCAUCUCCGGGGAUCAGCAGCUUCCUGUAAUCUCCCUUUAUGCCUUUCAUUCACUCUAAUCACAAGGAUUUUACAAGAGGCCCUCCUUGACCCCAGGCAUGAGCUCGGCCCUUUAUUUGUAAGUGAACUCAGCAGUGUUCACUUAACACUUUUAAGGAUCUGCGCCCAGGGAAGGGGAAGCGUGGUCAGACAGCAGGCUCUCUGAACUCACCUUUCUGGACAAAGAUCUCCCUAGGCAUUGUACACGCCUCCUUCUUUUCUUUCCCCUUGAGCUGUCCGGGUUUCACAGCAAGUUAUAAAGCGAAGAGCCUCACCUGCCUUUGAGACCACCUCCCCUUGGCCCAGCUCAGUAGCUGGUCCUCAGCAACCUGAGCGGCUCACUUGGGAGGCUGCAUGGCCGAGCAGGCGAAGCACUUACAGUGGAAGCGAGGCCUGUGAUGCUGUCAACUUGCUUCUUAACCCUAGGAUGCUGUGAGAAUUAAAUUACAUAGUAGCUGCAAAAUAAUUUGGCUUUCUUGGAGUUGGACACCACCUGAACCUGAGUGAAAUGAUUGUGCACUUCUUAAUGGCCUCCAUCUCUGGCCAAGCUGCCUUGGGACCAGAACAAUCAUCUAAGUCCCAGUUUCCAGCCUAAAACAGCAUGAGGACAAGGCCAGGAGGCCACAGCAAGGCUGUAAUCAGAACCCACAAGGAUUGCAUGGAGAUGCUGCAGUGCCGCCACCACCCAACGGCCGGAGCCCCCAGCAAAGAGUUUUCCACAAAAUGGGAGAAAAGUAUAAGAAGCUCUUCCUGCUAUGGGUAAGAGCCCCAAUACAAUGCUUCGUACCUAGAAGGCUCUCAGAAACAGAAAUCUGGUGAAUUAGUUAAAUUAUAUGCUUCUCUGCCCUCUGCCCUCCAUAAGAAAAAAAGAAAAGACCUAUAAAAGGCAUUCUGAACACUGGAGUUUGGCUCCUGUUUACCAUGUACAUCUAGAGAAGUGUACAAUUCGUGCUUGUAUGAAAUAAUGAAUGUUCACAAAGUGAGUAUACUUCUGUAAGCACUGCCUAAAUCAAAAGCAGCAAUGUGACCAGCCCCCCGGCCACCCUUGGUGCUCUCCCAAGCACUCCUCCACCAUCCUCUCCAACUGCAACCGCUAUCCUGAUUUCUAACACCCUAGGGGAGUUUUGCCUAGUUUUAAAUUUUACAUGAAUGGAGUCUCAUCAUAUGUAUUACUUUUACACUCAUAAUAUUUUCAAGAUAAGGAUAAAAAGCAAAAUUUUGGUCUUAUCACAAAGAUAUACCUGAGAUACACGAUCUUUAGAUUCUAAAUGACAAAGACUGAACUAAUCUAAAGGACAAAAAUGCAAACUGCAUUUUCACUUCUGGCUAAACUGAAUUUUUAAAAAAUUUCUCUUAUGCUUUCUUAUGUUUUAAUGAUCAUUCAUGAUAUUGCUUAAUUUCAGAGCAUAGAAAAUUGUGAAGUACAGUAGCAAAGACAUGGAAUCAACCUAAAUGCCCAUCAGUGGUUGACUAGAUAAAGAAAAUGUGGUACAUAUACACCAUAGAGUACUAUGCAGCCAUAAAAAGGAUGAUAUCAUGUCCUUUGCAGGAACGUGGAUGGAGCUGGAGGCCGUUAUCCUUAGCAAACUAAUGCAGGAACAGAAAACCAAAUACUGCUUGUUCUCAUUUGGAAACAAGGCAACUCAGAGGACUGAGAGACUCAGGACUUCCAGACAGAGGAUCAGGCGUACCUCAUGCAUGGGUGUUUUGGAAGAAGGCCAUUUUGAAACCUACUCUGUAUCAUUACAGACUUUCAGUGAAUUAAUUUAGAAUAAAUCCACCUCCUUCCCUGUAUGUGGUAGAAUUUCACUGGGAUACAACGUGAGGACAGAGAUUUGAACCCUCAGUCCCACUUAUGAUGCGGGGCUUCAGGGGCACCACGGACAUGCUCCGCAUUCACCCAUCUGUGGGGGAGGACUAAGGAAGCUGCGCUGGUGUGUGAGAAAGUAAUGGGCUCUUUUAAGCCCUUUUACUUAAAGCAAUAAAAGAAUAACUGCGUCAUCUGCUGGAGUAAAAGUUUUCAACAGAUGACCGGCUUGGUUCUUAAAACACACACACACACACACACACACACACGAGGAGUGAACCACACAGCAUGCAAAUGAGAGGAACAAACGCUUUUGUUUGUUGGAGAUUAAUUUUUAUGGAAAGUUGUACAUUGCAGAUUGCAAUCAACCUGACACAUUCUCUCCCUCCUGCUCCUUCUCUCAGUUGGCUUUGAGGAGAGGCACUUCCAAGUUUGAGAAUUCAUCUUGUCUGAUUAAUGAUGUGUACACAGAGAUUUCAGUCUCAUCUUCCUUCUCUGGGUCCUUUUUAUUCAGUUGUUUGCUGUGCUACAACCCUGCGGAUAGAUGGUUCUGCCGUGAUAAAUGUAAAGUUUGCAUAAGCCAUGUAACAGCAGGACAGCCUAUUAUCACCGUACAUUUUCCAUGGCUGUGCAAACCUCUGUAGGCUAUUUUAUUGCUAAUAGAUCCACAGAGAAACAGUAGUGAUUUUACGACUCUUUUUAAAAUGGAAAUUCAUGUUUGAGAAAUACAACUGGGAGGAAACAGAUGUAAACCACUUAAGCAUUUGCAGAAAAUUGAGAUGCACACUCUUAUUUACAGACCUACAUAGCCUCCAUCGCUUUAUUUUCAAAAUUAAAAUAAGCAAUCUGUUUACCAUGGGAAAUGAUGAACUGUAAACUUGUUGUUUUUCCUUUUACAUGGCAAUGGCCGCCAUCGUUGGGUUUAAUGGCAGAACUGAAGCAGGCAGCGUGGCAAUUUUUUCCCCUUAGGUUUUAUUGUCUGUAAUGCAUUCCCUCUGUAAUCUGCGCGAGAGGUAGGUAAGUGGGAAAGAUUUUCGUGUAACUGUAUGUCUGAAUUCACAUUAUGCUUGAACAGCUAAAAUGAUUACCAGACACAUUAGAAAGAUUUUAACCAGGUAUUUAACACUAUCUGUAAAUUGCUUAAAAUACUGGAAGAGUCAACCUCCACAAAAACGCUUUCACAUGGCCAAACACAAAAGCACAACCCAUCCAAAAACAUUUAUUCUGGCCUCGUCCCAACUUUCUCACAUCUUUUGGAGUUGUGACAAAUGUCACAUGUUGGAAAGGAGAUACAAAUGGAAGCAUCACAAAACAAUAUAGCAAUGAGAAGUCUGUCCACCAGACUCAUCAGAGCAAGCUCCUUGUGGCAUGUGGAAGCUCCUCUGGUUUUUAAUUUCAGCAUUGAUCUUUUUUUUUUUUUUUUUUUUUAGGUCUAGAACUACAUUUUUUGUUGCGGCAAAAUAUAUGCAACACAAAAUUGACCGUUUUAACCAUUUCUAAGUAUACAAUUCAGUGGCAUGAAAUGCAUUCACAUUGUCGUGCAACCAGCACCACCAUCCAGCUCCAGAACUUCAUCACAGACUGAAACUCUGUACCCAUGAAAGCAAAGACUCGCCAUUUCCCCCUCUUCUCCCAGCCCCUAGUAAUUUCUAUUCUACCUUCUGGCUGUAUGAAUUUGCCUAUCCUAGGCACCUCAUAUAAGUGGAAUUAUACAGUACUUGUCCCUUUGUAACUAGCUUAUUUCACUUAGCAUAAUGUCCUCAGGGUUCACCCAUGUUGUAGCAUGUAUCAGAAUGUCUUUCCUUUCUAAGGCUGAAUAAUAUUCCAUGGUGUGUAUAUACCACAUUUUGUUUAUCUGCCCUGUGUGGCUAGUCCUGGGAUUUUAAUAUUGAGGAGGUAUCCCCAUCAACCCGGGGAUGGAAGUGGCCUGCUUAUUCGUGAGCACUGCAAAGCAGGACGGCUAAGGAGAAUGAGAGGCGUCCAGACUAGGUCUGCAGAAUCAGGCAGGGAGGGCUCCUGGAAACUAUAGGUUUCUGGUCUCUGUAUAACAAUCACCAGCUGUGGGAAUAUUUUGCUUUCAUCCUUAAGCUUUGUUUUAAAUGUCAAAGGAGACUAAGCUAGACCCUCUUAGGAACUGAAAUUUUUCUCGGAGACAAGAUAUGAUGGACUUCGGCCCAAAGUCAGAUAACAGAAUGUGUUUCCAACCCCAUGCCUCCCCAAGCCACUCACUGCCACUGGGGAAGGCACUCGGGAGACUCCCUGAUCAUGGCCCUUGGAUUGCAUCAAAUGAGGCACAGCCACAGUGAGCAGGCUCUGAGCUCACUCACUCUUGGUGGAAACCAUACUAUAUGGAGA